rnacentral:misc_RNA from 1 species
AUGGGCUGUGUCCAUCCCGAGGAUUGGUGGUGUGGUGACCCGGUGGCGUCCAGCGAUGUCUGCUGGGGGCGAGGUAUGACCCAGGUGUGACGCUAUUAACUGACAAAUCUAUUUCAUCCCAUGUGUAAGUCUCUUGCCAGAAUAUCACUUCUUUGACUUGCUAGAGAUCUUAUUUGUUUCACUGUUUUGUAUUUAUCUUUUCAUGAUGCAGUUGUUCAAUUGUUCACGGUGUAGAAGCUAAAGUCAGUGACCAAGUAGUUUAGGUUAGGGCAAACAAUAACAGUACUUUCAGUCCGGCUUCCUAAUUUGACCUGUUCCUGGCGACGGUCGUUUCCUGUCGCUGUUACCGAAUUCGCGGAGGUGACCACAACAGGUUGAGGUGAGCCAGUGUCGACUCCAUGAUAUGUAGUUGCACAAGACUCAUUAGGUAACAAUUUGACAUUAGACAAGACUUUGAAAGACUCAUUAAUUUCAGUAAAAAUUGUAAAAGUACAUUUCUAAAAGAUUUGUAAAUGUUUGGGAUAUAGUUAUUUGUUCAUGGGUUCAACCAGUGUGGUUAACCAUCUUAUUUUAUUAUAUAUAAGAGGAGGAUUGCACUAUCGUCAGCUUUAAAAGUAACAUUUACAUUGUGGCUAUGCCACAUCAACAUGUCGUGCUUGGGUGGGGAGUACAGUCAUUUCAGAUUGUGCAGCUGCACACCGAUAUCUGCGCAGCAGAAAGGCAAAGUUGGUAAAGAAAGGUCCGAUGAACGGCAAGCAGUGGCAGGCAUGGGGUCCUCCGCUGAUCGAUCUGAAGUAACAUGAGUGGACACCCGGCAAAAACCACACAAAGCAGUAUACACAAGGUCAUUACGAGAAAGGCUGCAGGCAUGGGGUCCUGCAGUCGCCAGUCCAAGAAUUUUGGUAGCUGAAGGCAUAGGGCCAAGCUACCUCCAACCCAACGAAAGAAACACAGGUAUUUUGUAUAAAGGGCAUUCUAAGAAAAACAAAACAAAAAAACAAAUCGGCAUGUGAAGUACUAUGCUGAAGAGAAUUGUGUAUACAUUGAAUGAAAAUUCUGUUAAGGAAAUGUAAAACAACAAUUGGCAAACUUGAUUUCUUUAUCAAAAUGCUAUGGUUUAAAUAAAUUUUGGGUAAAAGUUUAAUUGUGGAAUUAGUACAAUUUUACGCAUGUAUGGGAUAUGGGAGGGGAACAAGUGUGCAAGUAUGUUUCAGUUUGAAGCUGAUGCAGUCCAGAAAGAAAAGAAAGCAGAUUGUGAGCAGCGUCUGUGUGAAACUCCGAAUUGUGGUUUGUUCUGUAACUGUUACUAGCAAACUUUAAAGAAAGAAAAAACCUUAGAUUCAGUGGUCCCUUUUGUUUUGCUAUAUUUGUUAUAGUAAGAGGGAACUCUAGAUUCCUGGGGAGCAGUAGGAAGAAAUAAUUUUAUCUAGCAGGUGACUGGAUGAAAGGCGACAUACAAAAUUUGGUUGUGUUGGCUGAGGUCUUCAGCAGUUCUGCAGCGUUUGGGAAUGGGUUCAUCGUAUGCCAGAAUUGUCUGGAGUCAGGUAACAUUUGUAAAAGACAAUUUUGCAUUUUUAUGUUUCCAUUUUGUGUUGAAGCUUGGCAAAGCCUUAAACUGCUCUAGCUGUCUUACUCAAAUUUUGUUUCAAUGUUGCAAUUUGUAAAAAGGCCUUUAAAGCUAAUGUAUGUGGUGGAAAAACGAUAACCCUUAACAAAGUAGGGCAUAGUGGAGGGAAAGUUUACUGCAGACAUGAAGUCCUGGAGAUGGAUUCGGCUCCAUCGGAGUGCCCCCUGUCCCCUUCUGCACCCCCCCUUGUCAUCAAGAAUUGUGGAAUGCUUGCAGCAUGGCAGACAUGGCCAGAUGGAUCACAAGGUUCUUAAAGUUGAAUAAGGUAACAGCAUAACUUGAUUUCCUAGAUUGUUUUAUAAAGGAACGUUGCUUUCUUAAACACACAACAUUUGUAUGACAUGGAUCUGUGAUCAGAUUGUUGGAGAAAAAAAAAUCUUUCCGUUGACCUUCUGUAAAGGGUUGGCUUUUUUCCUAAGGAACUAAAUCUUCCAUUUCUUGCUUGUAGUUGGAUUUUUUGUGCAUCAAGGUGUAUGUACAAUAGUACUUCAUGGAAAAUGUGCAAGAUAAACUGAGUGGUCACAAACUCUUCAUAAGUAUUUCCUUCACUCUGUUAAUGUAACUUUGAUUCAUCAGAUGCUGUACUUUUGCAUGCAUUUAUGAAUGUUUUGGUUACCAGAGGCAGUAAAAUAAAUGUAUCAUCGUAGUUUCUCAAUCAUUUAGAAUCUGUAACUAUUUGGCAUUAAUUGCUACUAAUAGUAAAGGUUUGGAUAGGGGCUAGGCUUUGGGUGUUUAAGAAUAUCUGCAGAUGCGGCAGGAUGCUGGGAAGCUUCAGGAAGCCUUGCAUCGAGUUGUCAGAUGGGAUUCCUGGAAGAGGUUCAAAGGAGAAUGUUAACGGUAACGGGGCGCAACUGAUUUGGGUUACUAGCAGUUAUGUUUCUACAAUGGUCAACUUUACCUUCCUUCAAAGAAGAGGACUGACAAAUAUAGGUAACGUGUAAGUAUGGAAGAAUCAUUCUGCAAGAUAACUAUGAAAAUUGACUAUUAUUGGUCAGGUCCACCAUUAGGGGGAUAGUCGAAGAUAAAAAUAAUUCUUGUUAACAAGCUUUUGAUGCAAUUUUGUGAAGGUUGAAAAGCCAGACCGCAAUUCUUAGAAAUCUAGGCACACAAAUUGUGGAUAGGUGUGGGCUAAGGCUCCAAUCUUUAUGAAUUAUGUAGGGGUCUUUCAUUACCAGAGUAUCAAAACUUAUUCUUGUGCCUCGUGUUGAUACCCAAGGUUCAUAAGAAAUUAUAUUCUCUUCAGUUGAGUUACUCUCAAUUAAUUUCUUAUUACUUGGAGAAAGGAACCACUUAGAAGUAGAAUAGUUCUAGUUGAGCUGGUCUCAACUCAUUCUUUUCUUGUGGAGAAUUUUACAUGCAGAAUCUAGUAGAACAAAUUGUUUUGUGAAGUAAUUUUCAUGAUAAUUUGUGAAUCCUCAAGGUCCAAGGUCCAUAAAAACAUAAAUCUUUCAGUUGAUCAGAUCUUGGUGUAGAAGUGCAUUCUUGCUGAGAAGCUAUCAACAUGUUCUUAUUCCUUAGACCUGAUAAACCAGAUCUCUAAUUAUAUUUAUUUGAGGGUUAUGUCUGACAUCAGAUUUGUAAUUGUAGGGCAUCUGCUCUGCCUAGGUAUGUUAUAUGAACACUUGAUAUAACGAUAGUAGCUCAUGAGAGUGAGGGGAAAAAAAUGCAUUAGGAUAAGCAAGUAAUAACUUCUAGUAUGAAAGUUUUAGAAGUGAUAGGGAUGCAGUUUACUAGAAAAUAGUUGCCUAUAUGGACCCUUAGAUGUUAGUUAUCCAUUGUGGUAAUUGAUGUUAGUUGUGCAAAACUGCAAUUAUCCAUCCUAAACAUAUUGUCUGAGAUAAAUGUGGGGGAGGGAGGGGUGUUCACUCUCUAGUAUAUGCACAGAAUUUAAGCCCAAAUUUGAAGGUGGCCUUUGUCAUCGGAGAUUAUCUACAAAGUUGCAGACGUCGCCUAUCUUCCAAGCUGCAUCGAAGGUAUAUGCUGAUUUUAGAAAUUAUUUGUAAAGAUUAUUUUACUUCUGUGUGCGUAAAUUGAUGAAUUGGUUGAAUAUGUAGUUGCAAUUGUGGGGGGGAGGGGCAAAUUAUGUUCUUCUAGUGUAUAUGCAGAGGGAAGGUCCAGGCUGUGAACCAUCGGUUAUCUGAAGAAAGCCCAUGCUUCUGCCUGCGAAGGAUCAAAGGAGGCCUCGAUUCCAUUGCUGCUUUUCUUUGUUGCAGGAGGUUUGAACUUGAAAGAAGUAUUUAGAAAUAACUUGAUGUCAGUCUUGAAAAUUCAUUAACAAGUUCAAAUAUUUUCUUCUUUUAUUUGACAUGUGAUUGUUUUAGUAUACAUCUUCUGUGAGAACUUGCAUUCUGUAUGUUAUGAGUGCUAGCUUCUUUUUUAAGCAACUUUUGAUGAGAGACCUUAUAAUACUGGUCAUUUGUAUUGGAAAGAAAAUGUUUUUGUGUGGAGAGCAUGGGUUUUUCUUCAAUAGGACAGUCUGGUUUUGUGGAGACAAGUAACAUGGUGAUUGCUGCCCGAGUGAAUGUUUUGCGUUCCUGAUUCUGGGCUGACGCUUUUGCUGUGUUCCACUUUCCUUACAUCUUGCUUGUUUACAGGUAAUGUUUACCAUGUGCUUAUAUCAACCUGUUAUACGUUAGAUAAUUUGGUUAGUCAUUCAUGCAGCUAGCAUAAUGCACUCAUUGGUUUAGAUGUGGAAAAUAUGUAAAGGUUCAAAAUGAGGGGAGAGGGGGGGGAAGCAUUUACUGCUGUAGCAUUCGCAGAACUCUGAUGCAACAUCUACUAUCCCGUGUGGGGAGACCAGGAUCAACAUCCAUAUUUCUUCAAAAUCUGACAUCUUGUUACUUCAGAAGAGGUAUUCAGAAGAGGUAUUUAAUAUAAACAUUGAAAGCCUGUCACUUCUUGGAGAGACCUAAUGUGUGAAACAUGUAUUGUUGACUAUGGUAGUCCUAGAUGUACUUUUACCCCUAAAAUAUUUGGGGAAGGGAAAAGGGAAGGUCUUUUUUAGUAGGCUGCUGGAGGCGCCCUCUGCUCUGUGGUAGUGGAUCAGCACUUGGCUUGUGAUCAGACUGAGCAGCAUACUGAAACUACAGCCAAGAGAAAUUGAACUCCCAACACACAACCUACAACCAUCAGCUCCAAAUUUCCUAGAAGGAAGGUAACUGCAGUUGAUGGUUCUGCAUAUCAUUAUACAAGUGUAUUUGAAAUUAUACAGAUAAGAUUUUUUUGAGUAAUUAGAAGUCAUGGUGAAUAAGACUGAAGUGGGUUAUCAAGAAUAUGAAGGGGAGGGAGGGGUCGGGACAUUUAUUAUAUAUUUAUUUAUACAGAAGUGUGUCCUGUAAGGACUGCAGGUCUGUACCGCUACAGGGCGAUGAAAGUGCAACCCUUAAAACUUCAGUAAUCCAGAGGUCUACAUUUUUGCAUUUUUGUAAUUUGUUAGAUUACUUAAAUUUGAAUUUGUAGAGUUGACACCAAGCAGAUUUUGGAAAUUAAGCUUUAAUAAAGUUUAGGGACUCCUCUUGAUGUCACAAAGAUAGAAUUUGUUAGUUCAUGGGGUAAUCUGAUAAUUCAGUUGGGAUUGGGGAGAGAAGUUUACUUAUUUAUAGGUAAGGAGCAGCACAGAGGAAGCCAAUCCGUGCACUUUCCAUCACCCAAUUAGUUGGAUCAUCAAAAGAGCUCAAAGGGUCAUCUCCCAUUUUAAUCUUCAUGGCUACACCAGUAAAGGUAUCGUCUUUGAGUCAUUGACCAAGUAAAGUCUGCAUGCCCUGAUUUUAAAUCUUGGAACUAGUGUUGAAAUAUUCAGAAAAAUGGAUGGGGGGAGGGAAGGGGGGGGGAACACUUAUCAUUUUGCAUCUUAAAGGUACAGAGGUGUGAGUGACAUCAGUAUGGACUGCCUACUGUUCUACUUGUGAUGCUGCUCCAUGCUGUUGGUAAAUGAAUGUAGAUUUGGUUACUUUAUUUGAUUUUCUACCAGCACCAAUGGCUGAUUUUUCUGUAUAUAAACCCUAGUGAUUGAGUUAGCAUUUUAUUCUCUUGUUUAUUCUCUAAAGUAGAAUCGAGAAGAUUUGGGUUUGGGGUCGGGAUGAUGAUGACUUACCUCGGUUUCAGAUAGUGGAGGGGAGAGAUGGGGGUCCAUGAGAAGGAAUCAUGAGUGAACUGAGCUGAUGAAGUGGAGCAGUGAUGAAGGUUGUAACAUAUUGGUAAUCUUUAUGAAGAUCUGCUACAUAUACAGCACCUAACAGCUAGUGGGAAUUGCAUAUACCCUUCAAGAUGCUUCAGUUUCUCUUGCUAUAAAUACGAACUUGUACAUUUAUUUUUUUGCAUUGCAUUUAUAUAGUUCAUGUUUCAUAGAUUAUUAUGAACUUGUUCUGUUGUUGCUAUAUGUUAUGUAUUUGUAUAAAUUGAAUAUUUUUAUCUGAUUUUGAAAUAGUCAUAAUGUAUUGUGAAAUAUAACAGUAGUGUAAACAUGGAGGAAAAUAUCUUUAGUAUUAUUGUGGCUCAGGUUUUACACUAGUGUCACAUAAAUACAAGGAUGGACACUCUUUUGUAAUUCCAAGAUGAGUUACAAGAAGAGUGGGAAAGUGGGUGGGAUUUUUCCUUCAUGUAAACUGUUUACUAAGUUUGAAGACGGAUACAAAUGUUGUUGACUGAUUUGUCAUGGCUUAGCAAUUCUUGCAAUGUUUUUGUCUGGGCAUAUUAUGGAUAUACAUGUAAUGUAUUGAGUUGUGGUGAACUGAAGACCGCCUUCAAAAGCUUCAUGCAUGCAACAGGGACUUCAGUUGAAGCUUAGCUAUGGGAAACAUACAAGGAAAUAGUUGAGGGAGGGUUUAGCUGAGCCAUGUAGGACAAAUGGAAACGCAUCACAACACAUACUUCUAAUUUUUGAGAGGCUGUGAGCUUUACAAUGUCUGCUGGGAAGUAACAUGCGCAGGGUGCUUUGGGUGGCUAUUGCCGUAUGGCACAACAUAUGGCGUCGAAGGUGGCUGCGAUCGGGACGGGCUUCAGCGCUUGGUUUCCUGUGCCAUGGAUGAGUUGUCAGCGCGGCUGAGUUAGUCUAGGAUGAUCGUUCAGCGGGGCUGAGGUUGCGCCAUGCAGGAAUGGUCAGCGGGGCGGUCCCUACGUCAUGCAGGAGGGUUCAGAGUGCAGAGGCUGCGUCGUGGACAAGGGUUCAGCACGGCGUUCCCUACAGCAUGCAGGAGGGUUCAGCGCGGCAGAGGCUGCCGUGGACGCGAGGUUUCUGCGCGGCAGAGGCUGCCGUGGACGCGAGGUUUCUGCGCGGCAGAGGCUGCCGUGGACGCGAGGUUUCUGCGCGGCAGAGGCUGCCGUGGACGCGAGGUUUCUGCGCGGCAGAGGCUGCCGUGGACGCGAGGUUUCUGCGCGGCAGAGGCUGCCGUGGACGCGAGGUUUCUGCGCGGCAGAGGGUGCCGUGGACUCCAGGUUUCUGCGCGGCAGAGGGUGCCGUGGACUCCAGGAUUCGGCACGGCAGAGGCUGCCGUGGACUCCAGGAUUCGGCGCGGCAGAGGGUGCCGCGGACUCCAGGAUUCGGCGCGGCAGAGGGUGCCGUGGACUCCAGGAUUCGGCGCGGCAGAGGGUGCCGUGGACUCCAGGAUUCGGCGCGGCAGAGGGUGCCGUGGACUCCAGGAUUCGGCGCGGCAGAGGGUGCCGUGGACUCCAGGAUUCGGCGCGGCAGAGGGUGCCGUGGACUCAGGUUUCGGCGCGCAGAGGCUGCCGUGGACGCGGUUUCAGCGCGGCAGAGGCUGCCGUGGACGCGAUGUUUCAGCGCGGCAGAGGCUGCCGUGGACGCGAUGUUUCAGCGCGGCAGAGGCUGCCGUGGACGCGAUGUUUCAGCGCGGCAGAGGCUGCCGUGGACGCGAUGUUUCAGCGCGCAGAGGCUGCCGUGGACGCGGGGUUCAGCGCGGCAGAGGCUGCCGUGGACGCGGGGUUCAGCGCGGCAGAGGCUGCCGUGGACGCGGGGUUCAGCGCGGCAGAGGCUGCCGUGGACGUGGUUUCAUCUUGUUAUAGGGAUCAGGAGGGUGAUGCUGCGCCAUGGACGAGGUUUCAGGCGGCAGAUGCUGCAUCUUGUAGGAGGGGUCAGCACGGGAGAGAGAACGACACGGAUCCAAGGCUAAGUUAAAAUUAUUGGUACAACUCACAACCUUUUAAGGGGAUGUAUUUGUAGAUGUAAUACAGGAAGUGAAGGAAAUGUCACCGCACUCAAAACUCCUUAUUAAGGGAAUUUGUGUAAAUUAAUUUAUUUCAUUAUUUGUUAAUAGUACUAGAGCAUUCUCUUAUCCAGCAGAAUUUAGUUCAUAGAUUUGUCCUCAGCCUUUCGAUGUCACUUUUGUAGUAGAUUAUCAGACUAACACUAGGCGAGAAUCUUUCGAAAACAUACUAGUUGGCCUAUUGUCAAACAGGUGGAUGGCGGAUAAUUCCUGAAAGCGAGAUUUGUAUCAAGGCCACAAGGGCGCUGCCUGUGGGUGGCAAGGCCGUUCAUCUAGAAGGUGGCUUCGCGUGGGCGAGCUCGCCCAGAUAGAAGGUGGCUUCGCGUGGGCGAGAUCGCCCUGGUAGAAGAUGGGGUCCCGAGGUCGAGAUCGCCCUGGUAGAAGAUGGGGUCCCGAGGUCGAGAUCGCCCUGGUAGAAGAUGGGGUCCCGAGGGCGAGAUCGCCCUGGUAGAAGACGGGGUCCCGAGGUCGAGAUCGCCCUGGUAGAAGACGGGGCCCCGAGGACGAGAUCGCCCUGGUAGAAGAUGGGGUCCCGAGGGCGAGAUCGCCCUGGUAGAAGAUGGGGUCCCGAGGGCGAGAUCGCCCUGGUAGAAGAUGGGGUCCCGAGGACGAGAUCGCCCUGGUAGAAGAUGGGGUCCGAGACGAGA